AACGAACGCUGGCGGCAUGCCUAACACAUGCAAGUCGAACGAGACCUUCGGGUCUAGUGGCGCACGGGUGCGUAACACGUGGGAAUUUGCCUCGGGGUAUGGAAUAACUCAGGGAAACUUGAGCUAAUACCAUAUAAUGUCUUCGGACCAAAGAUUUAUCGCCCUGAGAUAAGCCCGCGUAGAAUUAGCUAGUUGGUGGGGUAAAGGCUCACCAAGGCGACGAUCCUUAGCUGGUCUGAGAGGAUGAUCAGCCACACUGGGACUGAGACACGGCCCAGACUCCUACGGGAGGCAGCAGUGGGGAAUAUUGGACAAUGGGCGAAAGACCUGAUCCAGCAAUGCCGCGUGAGUGAUGAAGGCCUCGG
rnacentral:rRNA from 1 species